rnacentral:pre_miRNA from 9 species
UCUCGAUAGUGUAAAAGUUAACUCAUAAUUGUAUGGAAUGGGAUCGUUUGCCUACGUUUGCGGCUAGGGGCGCUGUUCCAACUCCAUACAAAUUUGAGUUAACUUUUACGCUAUUGA